GAGUUUGAUCCUGGCUCAGGACGAACGCUAGCGGCGUGCCUAAGCUAUGCAAGUCGAGCGGGGUUUCAGAGUCGAGUUUCCUUCGGGAGACAAAGCACUGAAACCUAGCGGCGAACGGGUGAGUAACACGUGAGCAACCUACCCCGUUGUCCGGGAUAACAGACCGAAAGGCCUGCUAAUACCGGAUACGAAGCUCCUUCGCAUGUUGGAGCUUGGAAAGGGGCAACCCGCAAUAGGAGGGGCUUACGGCCUAUCAGCUAGUUGGUGAGGUAACGGCCCACCAAGGCGACGACGGGUAGCCGACCUGAGAGGGUGACCGGCCACACUGGGACUGAGACACGGCCCAGACUCCUACGGGAGGCAGCAAGCGGGAAUCUUGCACAAUGGGCGCAAGCCUGAUGCAGCGACGCCGCGUGAGGGAUGAAGGCCUUCGGGUCGUAAACCUCUGUUGAUGGGGACGAAGAUCUGACGGUACCCAUCGAGGAAGCCCCGGCUAACUCCGUGCCAGCAGCCGCGGUAAUACGGAGGGGGCAAGCGUUGUCCGGAUUUACUGGGCGUAAAGAGCGCGUAGGCGGUCCAUUAAGUCGGCUGUGAAAUCGCUGGGCUUAACCCAGCAAUGUCAGUCGAUACUGGUGGACUUGAGUCCGGGAGAGGGAAGUGGAAUUGCUGGUGUAGCGGUGGAAUGCGUAGAUAUCAGCAAGAACACCAGUGGGCGAAGGCGGCUUCCUGGACCGGUACUGACGCUGAGGCGCGAAAGCUAGGGGAGCGAACGGGAUUAGAUACCCCGGUAGUCCUAGCCGUAAACGAUGGUCACUAGGUGUUGCGGGUAUCGACCCCUGCAGUGCCGAAGCUAACGCGAUAAGUGACCCGCCUGGGGAGUACGGCCGCAAGGCUGAAACUCAAAGGAAUUGACGGGGCCCCGCACAAGCGGUGGAGCAUGUGGCUCAAUUCGAGGCUACGCGAAGAACCUUACCAGGGCUUGACAUCCGCGGAACCCUGCCGAAAAGCGGGGGUGCCCUUCGGGGAGCCGCGAGACAGGUGGUGCAUGGCUGUCGUCAGCUCGUGUCGUGAGAUGUUGGGUUAAGU
rnacentral:rRNA from 1 species